UGCAGCAAUACUGAGGGGAAGCUUUCCAGGGCCACGUCACCACCUGGAUGACACCUAACCCAGGUGAGUCACCAGCACCCCUGAAUGCCAAGAAAUCAAAGUAACCAACCAAAAGCUGUGAAGAAAGACAGCCAGGAACAAGUCGACCUGCAUCGGGAUCUUUUAACCAAGCAGGAAACUAUAGUGAAAUAUAUAUUCAAAUGGUCAACGCCUUUGCUGAUGUAAAUAACUUACAUGGAAUUACACCUAUUGAUGCCAGUAUACAAUUUGGCCCGAAUGUACCAAAAAAGAAAAAAAAAAGAGAGAGCGAGAAAGGAGGGAAAACAAAUCCUCUGAGAAAUUCUGAGGAUUCUUUCUUCUGCCUCUGGCAGGAAGUCUGGGAAUCCUGGCCUGAAAAGUGAGAGAGCUCCCAGCAACACGUGAUUCAGGACACUAUGCAGAAGCAGCCAGUACCAGGACUCUGAAGAAGUGGCCCUCCUACAAUUAAGAAAGCCUUGUUUUCUGA